GACAGAGGGGGCAAGCGUUGCUCGGAAUUACUGGGCGUAAAGGGCGCGUAGGCGGGCUGGCAAGUCGGUCGUGAAAUCCUUCGGCUCAACCGAAGAACGUCGAUCGAUACUGCUGUUCUUGAGGGUUGCAGAGGAGACUGGAAUUCCCGGUGUAGCGGUGAAAUGUGUAGAGAUCGGGAGGAACACCGGUGGCGAAGGCGGGUCUCUGGGCAAUUCCUGACGCUGAGGCGCGAAAGCGUGGGGAGCAAACGGG
rnacentral:rRNA from 1 species